rnacentral:rRNA from 1 species
GAUGAACGCUGGCGGCGUGCCUAAUACAUGCAAGUCGAGCGAACAGACGAGGAGCUUGCUCCUCUGACGUUAGCGGCGGACGGGUGAGUAACACGUGGAUAACCUACCUAUAAGACUGGGAUAACUUCGGGAAACCGGAGCUAAUACCGGAUAACAUGUUGAACCGCAUGGUUUAACAGUGAAAGACGGUCUUGCUGUCACUUGUAGAUGGAUCCGCGCCGCAUUAGCUAGUUGGUAAGGUAACGGCUUACCAAGGCAACGAUGCGUAGCCGACCCGAGGGGGUGAUCGGCCACACUGGAACUGAGACACGGUCCAGACUCCUACGGGAGGCAGCAGUAGGGAAUCUUACGCAAUGGGCGAAAGCCUGACGGAGCAACACCGCGUGAGUGAAGAAGGUCUUCGGAUCGUAAAACUCUGUUAUUAGGGGAGAACAAAUGUGUAAGUAACUAUGCACGUCUUGACGGUACCUAAUCAGAAAGCCACGGCUAACUACGUG